GGGACACGUGGUAUCCUGUCUGAAUAUGGGGGGACCAUCCUCCAAGGCUAAAUACUCCUGACUGACCGAUAGUGAACCAGUACCGUGAGGGAAAGGCGAAAAGAACCCCGGCGAGGGGAGUGAAAAAGAACCUGAAACCGUGUACGUACAAGCAGUGGGAGCACGCUUAGGCGUGUGACUGCGUACCUUUUGUAUAAUGGGUCAGCGACUUAUAUUCUGUAGCAAGGUUAACCGAAUAGGGGAGCCGAAGGGAAACCGAGUCUUAACUGGGCGUUAAGUUGCAGGGUAUAGACCCGAAACCCGGUGAUCUAGCCAUGGGCAGGUUGAAGGUUGGGUAACACUAACUGGAGGACCGAACCGACUAAUGUUGAAAAAUUAGCGGAUGACUUGUGGCUGGGGGUGAAAGGCCAAUCAAACCGGGAGAUAGCUGGUUCUCCCCGAAAGCUAUUUAGGUAGCGCCUCGUGAAUUCAUCUCCGGGGGUAGAGCACUGUUUCGGCAAGGGGGUCAUCCCGACUUACCAACCCGAUGCAAACUGCGAAUACCGGAGAAUGUUAUCACGGGAGACACACGGCGGGUGCUAACGUCCGUCGUGAAGAGGGAAACAACCCAGACCGCCAGCUAAGGUCCCAAAGUCAUGGUUAAGUGGGAAACGAUGUGGGAAGGCCCAGACAGCCAGGAUGUUGGCUUAGAAGCAGCCAUCAUUUAAAGAAAGCGUAAUAGCUCACUGGUCGAGUCGGCCUGCGCGGAAGAUGUAACGGGGCUAAACCAUGCACCGAAGCUGCGGCAGCGACGCUUAUGCGUUGUUGGGUAGGGGAGCGUUCUGUAAGCCUGUGAAGGUGUACUGUGAGGUAUGCUGGAGGUAUCAGAAGUGCGAAUGCUGACAUAAGUAACGAUAAAGCGGGUGAAAAGCCCGCUCGCCGGAAGACCAAGGGUUCCUGUCCAACGUUAAUCGGGGCAGGGUGAGUCGACCCCUAAGGCGAGGCCGAAAGGCGUAGUCGAUGGGAAACAGGUUAAUAUUCCUGUACUUGGUGUUACUGCGAAGGGGGGACGGAGAAGGCUAUGUUGGCCGGGCGACGGUUGUCCCGGUUUAAGCGUGUAGGCUGGUUUUCCAGGCAAAUCCGGAAAAUCAAGGCUGAGGCGUGAUGACGAGGCACUACGGUGCUGAAGCAACAAAUGCCCUGCUUCCAGGAAAAGCCUCUAAGCAUCAGGUAACAUCAAAUCGUACCCCAAACCGACACAGGUGGUCAGGUAGAGAAUACCAAGGCGCUUGAGAGAACUCGGGUGAAGGAACUAGGCAAAAUGGUGCCGUAACUUCGGGAGAAGGCACGCUGAUAUGUAGGUGAAGUCCCUCGCGGAUGGAGCUGAAAUCAGUCGAAGAUACCAGCUGGCUGCAACUGUUUAUUAAAAACACAGCACUGUGCAAACACGAAAGUGGACGUAUACGGUGUGACGCCUGCCCGGUGCCGGAAGGUUAAUUGAUGGGGUUAGCGCAAGCGAAGCUCUUGAUCGAAGCCCCGGUAAACGGCGGCCGUAACUAUAACGGUCCUAAGGUAGCGAAAUUCCUUGUCGGGUAAGUUCCGACCUGCACGAAUGGCGUAAUGAUGGCCAGGCUGUCUCCACCCGAGACUCAGUGAAAUUGAACUCGCUGUGAAGAUGCAGUGUACCCGCGGCAAGACGGAAAGACCCCGUGAACCUUUACUAUAGCUUGACACUGAACAUUGAGCCUUGAUGUGUAGGAUAGGUGGGAGGCUUUGAAGUGUGGACGCCAGUCUGCAUGGAGCCGACCUUGAAAUACCACCCUUUAAUGUUUGAUGUUCUAACGUUGACCCGUAAUCCGGGUUGCGGACAGUGUCUGGUGGGUAGUUUGACUGGGGCGGUCUCCUCCUAAAGAGUAACGGAGGAGCACGAAGGUUGGCUAAUCCUGGUCGGACAUCAGGAGGUUAGUGCAAUGGCAUAAGCCAGCUUGACUGCGAGCGUGACGGCGCGAGCAGGUGCGAAAGCAGGUCAUAGUGAUCCGGUGGUUCUGAAUGGAAGGGCCAUCGCUCAACGGAUAAAAGGUACUCCGGGGAUAACAGGCUGAUACCGCCCAAGAGUUCAUAUCGACGGCGGUGUUUGGCACCUCGAUGUCGGCUCAUCACAUCCUGGGGCUGAAGUAGGUCCCAAGGGUAUGGCUGUUCGCCAUUUAAAGUGGUACGCGAGCUGGGUUUAGAACGUCGUGAGACAGUUCGGUCCCUA
rnacentral:rRNA from 1 species